CUUUUCAUCUUGUCUCCAUUUCUCUUUCCUCUUGCCCUGCCCCCCAUCCCCGUUCUCUCUCCAGGCAAGACCCAUGGAUUGAUCCGCGGGCUGGAUCAAGUGGCGCCCAAUGUCGUGCCUGGCAUGAGCGGUAUCAAUGCAGGACCAUUCAUAGGAGUAAAUCGCUGCGCAGCGUGACUGAUUCAAGGGCUUCGUCCCUGUGAUCCAUGCAGACGGCCACCUUACGUCUCGCCUGAAUCACGGCAAUGCUGGCUUCUGUGUAGAUCACUGUCGGACUUCUAACACAACUACACCUGUGCGCAAUGACUGAUAAUCCCCACCAACCUUAAAAGUGGUCAAUCAUUCAUUGGGACGAUCAAACGGAGGUUACAACCUGGUUCUUCUAGCUCAUCUGCCUGUGAUUGGGACAAUCACCACAAGCUGACUCUUCCUGACGUCUCUGGUAGAGGGACCUGUCUUGGGGACUUCAGCCACCCACCAGCACUGACAGCAUGACUCUGUGCCCAGCUUCAUUCAGAGUUCCAACCAAACAAUUACCUCAUCUCUCUCCCAGGAAUGUCUUGGGCCUGCAAUUUUGGCCUCUCACCCUGUAUAGCAACUACUGUUUUUAACAAGUCUACAGAUUUUUGUGUUCUUGUACAGGUUCUUCCUCGCAUAACAUUCCACCCAGGAGACUACUACCUCCAGGCAUCACAGAUUGGCUAUAUACAUAAAAGAGAACCUGCCAUGCUCACCUUAGCUGUAUUAAUAGGGUUAGGAGUUGCAACGGGGAUAGGAACAGGGACUACAGCUCUAGUGUUGGGAAAUCAACAUCUAGCUCAAUUACAGGCGACAGUAGAUCAAGAUUUAAAAAAAAUAAAAA